UACGUAGGUGGCAAGCGUUGUCCGGAUUUAUUGGGUUUAAAGGGUGCGUAGGCGGUCUAUUAAGUCAGUGCUGAAAUAUCCCGGCUUAACCGGGAGGGUGGCAUUGAUACUGAUGGACUUGAGUAAAGUUGAGGUUGGCGGAAUUGACGGUGUAGCGGUGAAAUGCUUAGAUAUCGUCAAGAACAUCUAUUGCGAAGGCAGCUAACUAAGCUUAAACUGACGCUGAGGCACGAAAGUGUGGGGAUCAAACAGG
rnacentral:rRNA from 1 species